AAUGAACGCUGGCGGCAUGCCUAACACAUGCAAGUCGAACGACAGCACAGUGAGCGUUGGCCCCUACGGGUGGCGAGGGGCGGACGGGUGAGGAAUGCAUAGGAUACCUCUUUUACGGGGGGGAUAACGGAGGGCAACGUCUGCUAACACAUAAUAUAUCGAACGGGAGUAAGCAGGGGUUAUAGAGGGUUUUCGGGACUGUUAGAGCCGAUGUCGGACUAGCUUGUUUGCGGGGUAAAGGACUAGCUAGGCAACGAUGCGUUGCUGAUCUGAGAGGAUGAUCGGCCACACUGGAACUGAGACACGGUCCAGACUCCUACGGGAGGCAGCAGUGGGGAAUCUUGCGCAAUGGGCGCAAGCCUGAUCCAGCAACACCGCGUGAGUGAAGAAGGUCUUCGGCUCGUAAAGCCCUGUUAUUGGGAAAGAAAAAAAGCAGGUUUAACCCCGGAUGUUCUGACGGUACCCAAUGAAUAAGCACCGGCUAACUUCGUG
rnacentral:rRNA from 1 species